rfam:Erinaceus europaeus unplaced genomic scaffold scaffold00452, whole genome shotgun sequence
UGCUGCAGCAGCAGCACAUGUACUAAAACUGGAACAACGCAGAGAAGAUUAGCAUGGCCCCUGCACAAGGAUGACAUGCAAAUUCAUGAAAAAUUCCAUAAAUUU